AAUUCCAAAUUCUCCUUUUCAACACUUCCACAUCAGUUUUCACUGUUGUAUUAUUAGUUACAGUUACAGAUGUAAAUAAAAAUGGCUCAACUGUUAAAAUAAUAUUUUCAGUUAAGAGGACUUGUCAAUACACCAGCGCGUUUUCCAUCAACCGUUGACAAAACCCAAAAUCUCUCCCCUUCAUCAGGUAAGAAAUGUGCUUUUUAUAAUCUUGAAUUUAUUUAUUUUCUUAAGGUUUUACACUCCUAUGUGACUUUGUUCUCUCUGAUCUUUCAUGCUCUGUAGUGGGUUUUCUUCUUUUCAGUUUUUCUUUUCCUGAACUUCUUUGUUUUGUUUUCUUUUUAUUGUAUAUUCACUAUUCAGUUUCUUGUCAUAUACCCAGUUCAGAUCUGUGUCUAUACAUUUAGUAAUCAACCUGAAUUCUUGUUUUGAUGAGUGGAUUUUCAUUUAAGUGGCUUUUAAGCAGCUGGGGUUGUUUGGAAAUUUUGGUUUCUCGUUUUAUGUUAUGUUCAUGCACCAUUGACUUCUCAUUUUUCUUUUUUCUUUUAAUUCUAUCAUGCAGAUUGCUGCUUGCUUCGUUUUCUACCUGGGAUUAUCGUAAUUGGCUUUCUGGAUUUUUUCUUCACGAGGAUAUAGAGGUUUUAUUGUUUGCAAUUGUCUGCUAGACCUGUGUAAAUGAAAUAGGUUUAAGUGGGUUUGUUGGCAUUUUUGUUUAAAUGCUAUUGUUGGUAGUAUAGCUGGGUUCAGUUGAUUUGUGACUUCUGAUAUUCUAACCCUGGACUUAAAAAGAUGACUGGAAGGAAAAACAUGGGGCGAAUAUCGCCAUUUUUUUUGGUGCUUUUAUCACUUGGGUUUUUCUUUGCAACAUAUAACUUGUUGACAUUGGCAAUACAAUAUAAGAGCUCCAAAUNNNN
rnacentral:lncRNA from 1 species